CUUCAACGAACCCAACCACAGGGGGCCGCGUUCCUCGGGACGGUCCUUGCCGUAGGUCGCGAGCAGAGCCUGCGCCUC
rnacentral:antisense_RNA from 1 species